rnacentral:piRNA from 1 species
UCCAGGCAGAAGACUGAAGAGCCAGGGCCUGA